UGAAUGGUUUGUUUGGCCGACAUGAGC
rnacentral:piRNA from 1 species